rnacentral:rRNA from 1 species
AGCAGCCGCGGUAAUUCCAGCUCCAAUAGCGUAUAUUAAGUUGUUGCAGUUAAAAGCUCGUAGUUGAAUUUCAGGAUUGACACAUCGGUCGUGCCUUAAGGGGUAUGAACUGGUGUAGUCAAUUUCUCACCUUCUGGAGAACCGCGAUGUCCUUAAUUGGGUGCCGCGAGGAACCAGGACCUUUACUUUGAAAAAAUUAGAGUGUUUAAAGCAGGCAUUUUUUGCUUGAAUACAUUAGCAUGGAAUAAUAAAAUAGGACGGCAUGAUUCUAUUUUGUUGGUUUCUAGGAUCACCGUAAUGAUUAAUAGGGAUAGUUGGGGGCAUUAGUAUUCAAUUGUCAGAGGUGAAAUUCUUGGAUUUAUUGAAGACUAACUACUGCGAAAGCAUUUGCCAAGGAUGUUUUCAUUAAUCAAGAACGAAAGUUAGGGGAUCGAAGACGAUCAGAUACCGUCGUAGUCUUAACCAUAAACUAUGCCGACUAGGAAUCAGACGAUGUUAAUUUUUUAGUGACUCGUUUGGC